rnacentral:rRNA from 1 species
AACGAACGCUGGCGGCAGGCCUAACACAUGCAAGUCGAAUGCUCCAGCAAUGGAGAGUGGCAGACGGGUGAGUAACACGUGGGAACCUUCCCUACGGUCGGGAAUAGCCCAGGGAAACUUGGGGUAAUACCGGAUACGCCCUUCGGGGGAAAGAUUUAUCGCCGUUGGAUGGGCCCGCGUCGGAUUAGCUAGUUGGUGGGGUAAUGGCCUACCAAGGCGACGAUCCGUAGCUGGUCUGAGAGGAUGAUCAGCCACACUGGGACUGAGACACGGCCCAGACUCCUACGGGAGGCAGCAGUGGGGAAUAUUGGACAAUGGGCGCAAGCCUGAUCCAGCCAUGCCGCGUGAGUGACGAAGGCCUUAGGGUUGUAAAGCUCUUUUGGCGGGGAAGAUAAUGACGGUACCCGCAGAAUAAGCUCCGGCUAACUUCGUGCCAGCCGCCGCUGUAACAC